CCUACGGGAGGCAGCAGUGAGGAAUAUUGGUCAAUGGACGAGAGUCUGAACCAGCCAAGUAGCGUGAAGGAUGACUGCCCUAUGGGUUGUAAACUUCUUUUAUAUGGGAAUAAAAUGUUCCACGUGUGGGAUUUUGUAUGUACCAUAUGAAUAAGGAUCGGCUAACUCCGUGCCAGCAGCCGCGGUAAUACGGAGGAUCCGAGCGUUAUCCGGAUUUAUUGGGUUUAAGGGGAGCGUAGGUGGUUUGUUAAGUCAGUUGUGAAAGUUUGCGGCUCAACCGUAAAAUUGCAGUUGAAACUGGCAGUCUUGAGUACAGUAGAGGUGGGCGGAAUUCGUGGUGUAGCGGUGAAAUGCUUAGAUAUCACGAAGAACUCCGAUUGCGAAGGCAGUUCACUGGACUGCAACUGACACUGAGGCUCGAAAGUGUGGGUAUCAAACAGGAUUAGAUACCCCUGUAGUC
rnacentral:rRNA from 1 species